GCGCCGUUAGCUCAGUUGGUAGAGCAGCUGACUCUUAAUCAGCGGGUCUGGGGUUCGAAACCCUGACGGCGCA
rnacentral:tRNA from 1 species